GAUAACUGGGUUAGGAUAAGGAUAUGUAGAAAAGACUCAGCCUCCAAGAGACUAGAAACAAACAAGACAAAACAAAAUGCAUUAAGAAAAGGUGAGGCAGGCAUCCAAAUUGAAGCUCUCCAUCAGGUCGCUUCUCUUGGAAGAGGGAGAGGAAGAAUUAUAGGAGACAGAGGAGUCAAGGACACCAGGACAACACAGCCCACAGAAUCAACCAAGGGAUAAUGGGGGCUCACAGAGACUGAAGCAGCAAUUAUGGAAUCUGCAAGGGUCUAUGUUAGAUCCUUUGUAUGUAUGCUAUGGUUGUUGGCUUGGAGAUUUUGUGAGUAUUCUAACAGUGUGAGGAGGGGUGUCUCAGACUCAUAUGCCUACUCUUGGGACUCUCCCCUUUUCUCCUACUGGGUUUCCUUACCUUACAGUCAGUUUAAAAGAGCUUCAUUUC